rnacentral:siRNA from 1 species
UUGUGUCUACAUCGUAACAUU